GACGAACCGAGCGAACGUUAUUCGGAAUCACUGGGCUUAAAGGGUGCGUAGGCGGGCCCGUUAGUCAGGGGUGAAAUCCCAUGGCCCAACCGUGGAAGUGCCUCUGAUACUGCGGGCCUGGAGGGAAAUAGGGGCGUGCGGAACUUCCGGUGGAGCGGUGAAAUGCGUAGAUAUCGGAAGGAACACCGGUGGCGAAAGCGGCGCGCUGGAUUUCUACUGACGCUGAGGCACGAAAGCCAGGGGAGCAAACGGGAUUAGAUACCCCGGUAGUCCUGGCCCUAAACGAUGGGUACUAGGUAGUGGACUGACAUGGGUUCACUGCCGAAGCAAAAGUGAUAAGUACCCCGCCUGGGGAGUAUGGUCGCAAGGCUGAA
rnacentral:rRNA from 1 species